rnacentral:rRNA from 1 species
GCCUCAGUAACGGCGAGUGAAGCGGCAAUAGCUCAAAUUUGAAAUCUGGCUCUUUCAGGGUCCGAGUUGUAAUUUGUAGAGGAUGUUUCGGCUUACGCCCCGGUCUAAGUUCCUUGGAACAGGACGUCACAGAGGGUGAGAAUCCCGUUUGUGGCCGGCGGCCUCCGCCAUGUGAAGCUCCUUCGACGAGUCGAGUUGUUUGGGAAUGCAGCUCUAAAUGGGAGGUAAAUUUCUUCUAAAGCUAAAUACCGGCCAGAGACCGAUAGCGCACAAGUAGAGUGAUCGAAAGAUGAAAAGCACUUUGGAAAGAGAGUUAAAAAGUACGUGAAAUUGUUGAAAGGGAAGCGCUUGCGACCAGACUUGCCCGCGGAUGCUCAACCGGUCCUUCGGCCGGUGCACUCUUCCGCGGUCAGGCCAGCAUCAGUUCGGGCGGUCGGAUAAAGGCCUCGGGAAUGUAUCUCUCUUCGGGGAGUGUUAUAGCCCUUGGUGCAAUACGACCCGCCUGG